rnacentral:misc_RNA from 1 species
GGUCAACUGAGUGCAGCAUUUGCUGCUGAAAUGCAGAAGCUGCCAACUGUUAGAUAUGUCCCCUUUGAUUUUCAUCAUAUAUGUGGCACCACAAAGUUUGAAAAUCUGCAGCUUUUAUACGAUCAAAUCUCAGAGGAUUUUGAAAACCAAGGCUGAGCAGAUACCUCCUCAUAGAUCCAAAAGGAAAUAUACUUCAGGAGCAAAAGGG